rnacentral:rRNA from 1 species
UACGGGGGGGGCAAGCGUUGUUCGGAAUUACUGGGCGUAAAGGGCUCGUAGGCGGCCAACUAAGUCAGACGUGAAAUCCCUCGGCUUAACCGGGGAACUGCGUCUGAUACUGGAUGGCUUGAGUUUGGGAGAGGGAUGCGGAAUUCCAGGUGUAGCGGUGAAAUGCGUAGAUAUCUGGAGGAACACCGGUGGCGAAGGCGGCAUCCUGGACCAACACUGACGCUGAGAAGCGAAAGCAUGGGGAGCGAACAGG